UGAUGACACAUCUCCGGAAUCUCUGUAUUUUCUUGAUGAAAAUCUUGAACCCCUAUCUGAUGACUGCUGUUGCUCUAAGU
ensembl:snoRNA SNORD68 small nucleolar RNA, C/D box 68